ACCCCGCCCCCGAUGUUAGCGCGGGCUACGCCCCCUCAACUCCCAGCUCCCUGGGUUGGAGGCUCCUGUCUGCGCGAAGCGUUUGGUACUCAGGUUGACGCGCCUGGAGAGGAAGGUGCUUCCCAACGGCUCCUGUUCGACCCCCAACCCCGGGCCAAGGGCACGGAGAGAGGCUGGGGCGGGGGACGAGCGGGAGGAGAGAGAGCACACCAUAUGACAGGCUUCUGGAAACAGAUCCCAUGCCAACUUGGAUUCUGUCCUUCUCUCCAAUAAAAGGAACUUUUCGCUUC